AACAAAUCCUCAACCCAUGCUCACAGUUACACCGCAAUUAAAAAAAAAUUCUCAAGACCUGUCUGACAAUAUCUGUCAAGACUCAACAUGAGGCAUAAAACUGCCUAUUAAUAAGCUGUGAAUUGCUUCUCAUUACACGGGCAUUUAAAGGCUCUGUUCUCACCAAGGAACUUCCUCCCUAUCCUCUUUCCUGUUUCUCCAAUAGUAAAGUUACACUGAGCAAACAAUUUGAUUGGCUGAAUCGUGUCACACCCACACAGACCGACGAUGAAGAGGAUCCACCACUACAAAUUGAAGGAGUACACUGACUGAAUGAAAUGCCACAAAAAGCAGUUCUCCUCGAGUGUAUUAAUUGCAUUGCUGUUUUUCAACCUCUUUUCAUAUUUGAAUAGUUUUAUUUAAUGUCGUUGUUGGACAAUGACUGAAUUUGCAUAAACAGCCAAGACCGUAUUUUGUAUGCCCUAAUGAAAUUAAAUAGUUAUUCAUCAUUUUUUUCCACUGAAUACUUGUUUACUCUUCCUCAAGUACUUUUUAUCUCUACUCGAGUCCUAAUAAACUAAAGAUGGAGUACUCUUAUCUUGAGUAUAGGGCUGAGCGAGUAAUUCCAAUAAUGCGAUCAGAAAAAUGAAUCGACUCUGCCUCGAUGAUUUAAGAGGCUGCGUAAACAUAUGCCUGGACUAUGUAUGGCGUUUAUAGUAUGUUUCCGCGUAUGUUUCAGUAUAAACUUUAAUUUACUCGGGUAUUUUAUGUUUGAAUUUUUAAUGG